rnacentral:lncRNA from 1 species
GCUUUUAAGCUUGGACUUAGAUAAAUUUCUCCCCUAUUUCACCUUUCUCUCCACAUUUGUGAGCUUGUGAGCUUUCGUACCUGCUAUUGGACAUCAAAGCUCCAUUAAAAACAUAAAAAAUAAAAAUCAAAACUAAGAAACCUAAACAAAAUAUGUGCAAAAGUAUUAAAAAUGCAAAGUAAACAAGAAUGUAAUACUAAAAUUAAAACAAAAAGAGAUGAGCACUUAGCUUUUCAUGCUAAGCUCAUCAACUUAC